UACGAAGGGUGCAAGCGGUAAUCGGAAUUACUGGUCGUAAAGCGCGCGUAGGUGGUUCAGUAAGUUGGAAGUGAAAUCCCCGGGCUCAACCUGGGAACUGCUUUCAAAACUGCCGAGCUAGAGUACGGUAGAGGGUGGUGGAAUUUCCUGUGUAGCGGUGAAAUGCGUAGAUAUAGGAAGGAACACCAGUGGCGAAGGCGACCACCUGGACUGAUACUGACACUGAGGUGCGAAAGCGUGGGGAGCAAACAGG
rnacentral:rRNA from 1 species